CACGUAGGGCGCGAGCGUUGUCCGGAAUUAUUGGGCGUAAAGAGCGUGUAGGCGGUUUGGUAGGUCCGUUGUGAAAACUCGAGGCUCAACCUCGAGACGCCGGCGGAAACCAUCAGGCUAGAGUCCGGAAGAGGAGAGUGGAAUUCCUGGUGUAGCGGUGAAAUGCGCAGAUAUCAGGAAGAACACCCGUGGCUAAGGCGGCUCUCUAGUACGGUACUGACGCUGAGACGCGAAAGCGUGGGGAGCGAACAGG
rnacentral:rRNA from 1 species